rnacentral:rRNA from 1 species
GCGUUCCAUUAGCUAGUUGGUGAGGUAACGGCUCACCAAGGCAACGAUGGAUAGGGGAACUGAGAGGUUUAUCCCCCACACUGGUACUGAGACACGGACCAGACUCCUACGGGAGGCAGCAGUGAGGAAUAUUGGUCAAUGGGCGCAAGCCUGAACCAGCCACGUCGCGUGAAGGAAGACGGCCCUACGGGUUGUAAACUUCUUUUGUAAGGGAAUAAAGUGUAGUACGUGUACUAUUUUGCAUGUACCUUACGAAUAAGGAUCGGCUAACUCCGUGCCAGCAGCCGCGGUAAUACGGAGGAUCCGAGCGUUAUCCGGAUUUAUUGGGUUUAAAGGGUGCGCAGGCGGGAGAUUAAGUCGGCGGUGAAAUUUUGCAGCUUAACUGUAAAAGUGCCUUCGAAACUGGUUUCCUUGAGUGUAGAUGAAGUAGGCGGAAUUUGUGGUGUAGCGGUGAAAUGCAUAGAUAUCACGAGGAACUCCGAUUGCGCAGGCAGCUUACUAAACUACUACUGACGCUCAGGCACGAAGGCGUGGGGAUCAAACAGGAUUAGAUACCCUGGUAGUCCACGCAGUAAACGAUGAUUACUCGCUGUUUGCGAUACACAGUAAGCGGCUUAGCGAAAGCGUUAA